UCGAGAAAGCGAAAACGCGAAAUCGAAAUCGAGAAAUCGGGAAAGCGAAAACACGAAAUCGAGAAAUCUAUUUCAUUUCCCGUUUUCGCGUUUUCGCGUUUUAGCUUUCGCGUUUUCGCUUUCUUGAUUUCUCGAUUUUGCGUUUUCGCUUUCUCGAU
rnacentral:sRNA from 1 species